rnacentral:rRNA from 1 species
UACGUAGGGUGCAAGCGUUAAUCGGAAUUACUGGGCGUAAAGCGUGCGCAGGCGGUUUUGUAAGUCAGAUGUGAAAUCCCCGGGCUCAACCUGGGCACGGCAUUUGAGACUGCAAGGCUAGAGUGUGUCAGAGGUGGGUAGAAUUCCACGUGUAGCAGUGAAAUGCGUAGAGAUGUGGAGGAAUACCGAUGGCGAAGGCAGCCCCCUGGGAUAACACUGACGCUCAGGCACGAAAGCGUGGGGAGCAAACAGG